GGCCCUGCCUGACUCCCACAGGAUCUUUCUGAGGGCCAUGCUGGUGGAGGAACCCCAAGGGUCUGGCUGAAGAUAGUCUCCCUUCUGAGUUACCAUUCCACAGGUCCUGCUCUCACUGGAUAGAUUCUAAUAGGGGUUCUGAUCUUUGCAGUUUGUCUCCUAAGUGUCUGGAGUCUGUGGCACCUGGGAAAAGUCUAAUCAUGAUUAAAAUAUUUAUUCCUUAGCUGCUAGAAGGACAGAAAUUUCUGAGCCAAACUAGAGCUGCCGUGAGAAGGGAGUUCAGGGAAAAAAUUUUAAAGAUGAAAACCAGAAGAAGACCUGCAAUAUCUACUCAAGCAAGCAAACAGCGGUGGAUAGAGCUUCACAUUAUUUCUUGGAGAACAAUGUCCAGCAACACAAAUCCCUAACUUCAGUUCUCCCAUCUCCACCAGCAACAGCAACGGUCUUCCGAAGUAAAAACACAGCAAUGGGACCUGUCCCAUUAGCUGCUGCUCAUGUAUUCCCAGUCUCCUGCCCCUCACUAGGAGGGAAAGGGGAGGAGAGUCCCCAAAGGACACAACCCUGCAGUCCCAGCCUUCAGAGUCAGCAGAGUGAGGCUCUUUCAGGCUGAGGAAUUGGUGAGGGUCUAUGCUGAGAGUGCUGUUGUUCUGAGACAUCUUCAUCCUGUUUGAGAGCCCAAGACUCUGCCAUUGAAGAGCCAACUGAUAGAGAUCUUCAUGUGUUUUGAGAGGCAAAACAGGAACAUAGAGUCCAUUUCUUUCACUGUGGUGUCAGUGAUUUGGAUGGAGGGUGGAGUCCCCUGCUCUGUGGAUAAACAGUAGAGGGGACCAGCUGAGAGUCCUUCACCCUCAGAGAUCUCAGCCAGCUCACAGGGCCCACAGAAUUAAUGGGACUCUGUAAGAUUGAAUGUUUGGUUUUAAGGUAGGGUUUUUAAGAGGAGAUCUGAAUCUUCCUCCUACCCAGAUCACCCACAGUGACCCCUGACUCAGGGUAUUUGUGUAGAUUCCACACUAGGAGCCUCUUCAAAUCUCCUGUCCAGAAAUCUCAUGAAGGAGGAUAUGCUUCCCAUUGAUGUUUGUGAAAAUUCUUGUUCAUACAUUAUGAGAGUUUGAACAGUCAGGUCCCUCCUUUAUAAAAUAGCUCUCUGUUUCUUUUAAUUAAAUAAUUGCUAUGGGGUUAAGAUGGCUGUGGUGAUAUUUUAUUUGUGCUGAAAUGUGAUUUUAUUUAUAUGUUAAUAAAUAAAGUUGCCUGUGGGUCAGAGCUAAUAGCAAGCCAUAGCAGAAAUCUGGCAGUAGUAGCACAUGCCCUUAAUCCCCAUCACAUGACAGGCAAAUAUCUGUGUGUUCAAGGACACCACCAGCAUGGAGACACAUGUCUUUAAUCUCAAUACCAACCAUAGAAGACUUGGAGGUCUGUACAGACAGGCAGUGAUGAGGAGGUCAUGUGGUUGGGUUUACAACCAAUGAGAAGGCAGAACAGACAGUCAAUAAAAAGACAGACACACAGGAAGUAGGUCUCUUUCUGAGGGGAAGAACGGCAGCAGCUGGUAAGCUAAAGGCUAUUCGUUAGUGCUCUGACCUCUUGAGUUUUAACUCUGCAUUUAGCUCUGUUUCUUAUUUAAUAUGACCAUUUACAUCUACAGAUGGCACCAAUGGAAGCUUCAUCUUCUAAUCCAGUCCUUGAAGGCUGAGUAGAGGAUGGCCCUCUUCCCUGUCACUUAAGAUGCCUCUAAAUAUUGUGUGCAAUAUUUAGCAACCACGUGACAGCACAGGUGGCCUCAACAUCAAACAAAUCCACAUGUCCUAGUCAGGACUGUGAGCCAGAUGAAUGCUCAGACUGAUUAUGCAUAGAUUUAAGUCCUUUGAAAAUAUUUUAAUUUAUUUGAUGUGCAUGGGUCUUCAUGUGUGUGUCAAGGCACAUGCCUGAAACUCAGAGGUUGUUAACUCUCUACUUCCAGCACGUGGGUCCUGGGAAUCAAACUCAGGUGUUAGUUUUGGUGGCAGGUAUCUUUACCCCCGAGUCAUCUUGAUGGCCCCCAGUAAUCAUCAUCAUCAUCAUCAUCAUCAUC